CUUCGGGGUGAGUGGCAGACGGGUGAGUAACGCGUGGGAACGUGCCCUUCAGUUCGGAAUAACCCAGGGAAACUUGGGCUAAUACCGGAUACGUGCGAGAGCAGAAAGAUUUAUCGCUGAAGGAUCGGCCCGCGUCUGAUUAGCUAGUUGGUAGGGUAAUGGCCUACCAAGGCGACGAUCAGUAGCUGGUCUGAGAGGAUGAUCAGCCACAUUGGGACUGAGACACGGCCCAAACUCCUACGGGAGGCAGCAGUGGGGAAUAUUGGACAAUGGGCGCAAGCCUGAUCCAGCCAUGCCGCGUGAGUGAUGAAGGCCUUAGGGUUGUAAAGCUCUUUCGUCCGGGACGAUAAUGACGGUACCGGAAGAAGAAGCCCCGGCUAACUUCGUGCCAGCAGCCGCGGUAAUACGAAGGGGGCUAGCGUUGUUCGGAAUCACUGGGCGUAAAGGGCGCGUAGGCGGCUUUGUAAGUCGGGGGUGAAAGCCUGUGGCUCAACCACAGAAUUGCCUUCGAUACUGCAUGGCUUGAGACCGGAAGAGGUUAGUGGAACUGCGAGUGUAGAGGUGAAAUUCGUAGAUAUUCGCAAGAACACCAGUGGCGAAGGCGGCUGACUGGUCCGGUUCUGACGCUGAGGCGCGAAAGCGUGGGGAGCAAACAGGAUUAGAUACCCUGGUAGUCCACGCCGUAAACGAUGA
rnacentral:rRNA from 1 species